UCCCUGGUGGUAUAGUUGGUUAAGGAUUCAGUAUUGUCAUUGCUGUGGCACAGGUUCAAUUCCUGGUCCAGGAA
rnacentral:tRNA from 1 species